UAGCUCAGUUGGUAGAGUGUUUGCCUUGCAUGCACAAGGCCCUGGGUUCAAUCCCCAG
rnacentral:tRNA from 1 species